AAGUCGUAACAAGGUUUCCGUAGGUGAACCUGCGGAAGGAUCAUUAAAUAAUUUGGAUACGCUCGCCGUAUUUCUUAUUUACUAUGAACUGUUUUAUUGUUUGGCGCUUGAGGAAUGUUGUUUAGCCAUAGGGAUAGGCUAGGCAAAUGUUAACCGAGUCAAAGUCAGGCUUAGGCCUGGUAUCCUAUUCAUUAUUUACCAAAAGAAUUCAGAAUUAUUAUUGUAACAUAAGUGUAAAAAACUUAUAAAACAACUUUUAACAACGGAUCUCUUGGUUCUC
rnacentral:misc_RNA from 1 species